CUACGGGACGCUGCAGUGAGGAAUAUUGCACAAUGGGGGGAACCCUGAUGCAGCAACGCCGCGUGGAGGAUGACGCAUUUCGGUGUGUAAACUCCUUUUAUAUGUCAAGAAAAUGACGGUAGCAUAUGAAUAAGCACCGGCUAACUCCGUGCCAGCAGCCGCGGUAAUACGGAGGGUGCAAGCGCUACUCGGAAUCACUGGGCGUAAAGGACGCGUAGGCGGGUUGGAAAGUCAGGUGUGAAAUCCUACAGCUUAACUGUAGAACUGCACUUGAAACUUCUAAUCUAGAGUAUGGGAGGGGGAGAUGGAAUUAGUGGUGUAGGGGUAAAAUCCGUUGAUAUCACUAGGAAUACCUAAAGCGAAGGCGAUCUCCUGGAACAUUACUGACGCUAAGGCGUGAAAGCGUGGGGAGCAAACAGGAUUAGAUACCCUAGUAGUC
rnacentral:rRNA from 1 species